AGAAAGACCCAGAUGCAUCUUUAAAACACUCGUAAGGUCCAUCGCUAUCGGGAAACUGGGCCCCGGUCGUUUGGUGAUUCAUUACGAAACCGAAAGAAAACUCUGUGAUAUGAUCGGGCGGCGCGGAUAACUGUUCAUUUGAGAAGGGCACUCCAACUUCACUGCUUGCCCGGUCAUACAUAGCCUUGCACCCCUGUUCAGCCUAAUCAAACUCCUUCAUUGUAAAGUAAGCUAUUUUAGGCAGGUGCAAUGGCAACACAGUGUGUGACAAAGGUGGAACUGACAGUCUCCUGUGAUAAUCUUCUGGACAUGGACGUAUUCUCCAAGUCUGACCCUCUGUGUGUUCUUCUCAUGAACAUUGCUGGGUCGCAGUGGUAUGAGGUGGACCGCACAGAGACUGUGCACCCUCAUAGAUAUCAUCCUGACUAACUUACCCUCUAAAUACACCUCCACUGUCUUCAACCAGGA